rnacentral:rRNA from 1 species
UACAGGGGGGGCAAGCGUUGUUCGGAAUUACUGGGCGUAAAGGGCGCGUAGGCGGCCUUCUAAGUCGAACGUGAAAUCCCCGGGCUCAACCCGGGAACUGCGUCCGAUACUGGAAGGCUUGAAUCCGGGAGAGGGAUGCGGAAUUCCAGGUGUAGCGGUGAAAUGCGUAGAUAUCUGGAGGAACACCGGUGGCGAAGGCGGCAUCCUGGACCGGCAUUGACGCUGAGGCGCGAAAGCUAGGGGAGCAAACGGG